AGUGAACGCUGGCGGUAGGCCUAACACAUGCAAGUCGAACGGCAGCACAGUAAGAGCUUGCUCUUACGGGUGGCGAGUGGCGGACGGGUGAGGAAUACAUCGGAAUCUACUUUUUCGUGGGGGAUCACGUAGGGAAACUUACGCUAAUACCGCAUACGACCUACGGGUGAAAGCAGGGGAUCUUCGGACCUUGCGCGAUUGAAUGAGCCGAUGUCGGAUUAGCUAGUUGGCGGGGUAAAGGCCCACCAAGGCGACGAUCCGUAGCUGGUCUGAGAGGAUGAUCAGCCACACUGGAACUGGGACAGGGUCCAGACUCCUAAGGGAGGCAGCAGUGGGGAAUAUUGGACAAUGGGCGCAAGCCUGAUCCAGCCAUACCGCGUGGGUGAAGAAGGCGUUCGGGUUGUAAAGCCCUUUUGUUGGGAAAGAAAAGCAGCAGGUUAAUACCCCGCUGUUCUGACGGUAACCAAAGAAUAAGCACCGGCUAACUUCGUG
rnacentral:rRNA from 1 species